GUGAGGAAUAUUGGUCAAUGGGCGAGAGCCUGAACCAGCCAAGUCGCGUGAAGGAAGAAGGAUCUAUGGUUCGUAAACUUCUUUUGCAGGGGAAUAAAGUGCAGGACGUGUCCUGUUUUGUAUGUACCCUGAGAAUAAGGAUCGGCUAACUCCGUGCCAGCAGCCGCGGUAAUACGGAGGAUCCGAGCGUUAUCCGGAUGUAUUGGGUUUAAAGGGUGCGUAGGUGGUUUGAUAAGUCAGCGGUGAAAGUUUGCAGCUUAACUGUAAAAAUGCCGUUGAAACUGUCGGACUUGAGUAUACAUGAGGUAGGCGGAAUGCGUGGGGGAGCGGUGAAAUGCAUAGAUAUCACGAAGAACUCCGAUGGCGAAGGCAGCUUACUAAGCUACAACUGACACUGGAGCACGAAAGCGUGGGGAUCAAACAGGAUUAGAAACCCCAGUAGUCC
rnacentral:rRNA from 1 species